UCCCCUUCCCUCCCCUCCCCCAGGAGACAUUUUGGGCACGUCCCAGCAGCAGGUACCCGAAGAGCCAGGGUACGAGCGGCCAGAGCCCUAGUCAGGCUCCUUCGGAGGGCAAGCAUGGCGCGGCUUCGAGCGCUGCGAAGGGCAGCGGCCGGUAUUCUUCCUUAAAUUCCUUCUCCUGUGGCUUCUCUACUGAUUAAAACAAAAACAGCAACCAAGAAGCUCCGAGAGACUAAGAGACAAAGGUAACAAACUUUGUCGUGUUCCUGGUCCAGUGGUGCGUCAGCAAAUGGAAGCACCUGUAGUUCAUCAGCGGAGUGAAGCCCAUCAUUCUACUGGCUCUCCAGUUCUGUCUAGGACAUGGUAAGAACGCUGGUCUGCCGCUGCUUUAUAAACCUCCAUCAGGGCUCUGGAUUGGAUGGAUGAAAGAGCCCCUGGCCAUCACCAGGAAAUGUUCUACCUAGUUCAAAGAUGAAUGAAAGAGGAAAAGGCAGACCCAGUUGUACACUUUCAUGUGACCAACAUGGCCUUAAGCACACGGCUGAUCUCAUGCCAGAGGAAAUCCGUCCACACAGACUGCAAUUCAUACCAUCACCACCUCAUUCCCUAAAUGAACUAUACAUGCAUUUUCUAGAGUUUGCCACAAAAAACUCUGUGAAGGGCUUCCCUGGUGGCGCAGUGGUUGAGAAUCUGCUUGCCAAUGCAGGGGACACGGGUUCGAGCCCUGGUCUGGGAAGAUCCCACAUGCCACGAAGCAACUAGGCCCGUGAGCCACAGCUACUGAGCCUGCGCGUCUGGAGCCUGUGCUCCGCAACAAGAGAGGCCGCGAUGGUGAGAGGCCUGCGCACCGCGAUGAAGAGUGGCCCCCGCUCACCGCAACUAGAGAAAGCCCUCGCACAGAAACGAAGACCCAACACAGCCAAAAAAACCAAAACCAAACAAAAAAAAGACCUAAAGAAGAAAUACGUGGCAAAUAUCUUUCUGGAAAAAAAAAAAAAAAAUGUGAAAUUCAGAUUGCAGUAACUUUCAAAUUUAAUGUUAAAAGCCUCAAAUAGGUGUUUAUUAAAUAAAUAUAUGUACUAUCUAUCUGUCUGCCAUAUGUUACUCUCAGUGGAGUGUUAGGAAGUCAUUAAUCAUGCAUAUGCAUUAUUUCUAGCAUAUAUAUGAAUAUGAAUAUAUAUGUAUACACAUAUAUACAUUCACCUACAUAUAUAUGAAUGACACAGGAAUAGAAAGACCAAAAUGUUACCAGUAUUAUCUCUAAGUAGUGGAAAAUGUUUUUUUUCCACCUUUGGUCAUGGCCAUGAUAUUUAGUCUCUGUAAAAAUAUGUAUUACUUUUUCAUUCAGAGACAAACACUCUAUCCCAAGUAAUGUUAUUUUUAAAAAUCAAUAAAAAUAUAUUUAGAGGAAAAACAAGAUGAACAGAUUUUUCUUAGGCUCCUUGCAGUUUUUUAAUUUUAUCAUUUUGAUGUAUCAUGGAAGACAGCAGUUCAACAUUUGGAAAAGCCUUCAAAAGUGGUUAACAUUCUAAAUAAAUAGUAUGUAAAACAGGUAUUUUCAACCCUUAAAAUGACAAAAAACCCUAAAUAUUUGGCAAUAAAAAUUAAAUAUAUGGCAUAAUCAAAAACAGUGACAAAAUACUGGAGGAACUUAGUAGGUCACCAGUACACUUUAAAUUUCAUAGAAGAAAUGGACAACUAUACCUCUGUU